CCCUUCUCUGUGUCACAUCUGGAGAGUUUCCAGUGCUCUACCAGUCUCGGCUAUGGGAGGGAUAAUCAAGCAGAGGCCUACCCAUUCCAUUCUUAGCUUGGGCGUUGGCUAACGAAUGGACGGCAAUCUGCUACAAGU